rnacentral:misc_RNA from 1 species
GAACUGAUUAUGAGCAUCUUCAGAUAUUUAUUUCUGGCUGAAUUUUGGCUGAAUUUUGGACUGAUUUUGGCCUCAUAGUCUUAGGAAGAAUGAACCUAGGGAGGUAGCUAUGCAUUGUAGUUGUGAAGCAAUGCACCUUUGAUGUUGAACAUUUUUGUGUAAAUUGUGAUGGAACUCUUUUGACAUAUCCAAUACCACAAUCAAAUCAGAAAUUCAGACCAUUGAACAAGACUUGAGCAUCUUACUUGUCAUGUCUCUUUUUUUACCCCCUCUGUUACUCUUUCUUUCUAAAUAGAAGAAUAAUUUUCCCCCUCCUAUCCUCCAAUUCCUCCCUUACCUGGGUUGCAAUAUCCUUUGUAAGAGUUUGAUGUCUCAGCUAACCAGCAACAGAAUUAAGCCACUCUUACUUAAGGUAAGUUAAUCAGUCAAGAGUAAGUUGUACCAGUGCACCAAACCCAAGUCAACGUAUAGUUGAACAAUAUAUCCUGAAAGUUCUGGAAACCCCACGUAGAAGAAUUGGCACCAAAAGUGACGAGAGUGAUGACAUAAGUGAGGACUUAUAGCUGUCAAUUGCAAUCCAGUGUUCAAAUGACAUAUCCAAUUCGCAACAAUAGUAAUAUAACCGAGAGAUGAAGAUGAAAUUCAUCAAAAAUAAUGAGGGAGGGGGCUGUGAGAAAUUGAUGCAAAAUUCAUCCAGGGUUUAAGAAGGAAGUGGAAAGGAGAUUGGCAGAAAAAAAUGUGUGCAAACCAGAAGUCUGAGGGAUUUCUUGCUCUAGAAUUUGGACAGCAACGGCUCAUUAGAUAGUUGAAUGCAACUUCAAUGGAGAUCCCUUAUAUUGAGAUACAAUUGCAACAACUUAAUAUGAAUAAAUUAUAUCAUUUCACACACGAUUUAGCUUGAAUCUGCAAAUGGGAAUUAAUUUGGUCUUGUUUGCUCAAGAAAAAUAAAAAAUAAAAAUGCAAAUCCUUGACAAUUUUGAUUUUUCUGAUGAUACUGUAGAAUGUCAACAAUUGAAGGCAGCAGUAAGCAUUGGCUCUGAUGCAUACUUGAUUUAAAACCAUAUCCAUCCUAGAAAAAUAACAUGCAAAUUUACAUAUUAAACUUUUUGUUCCUAAGAUGUUUAAAAGAAGAAUAAGACAAGCAAAUUGGACCCCUCAUGAUCCGGUUUGAGCCACAAUCAAUCUUCUCCUAUGAGGAGGUACACUAUUAUUUUUUUAUUUUAUUUCCUUUUGUUUCUUUUUUUUUCUUCUUUUUCU